rnacentral:tRNA from 1 species
UCCCUGGUGGUCCAGUGGCUAAGACUCCAGGCUCCCACACUGCAGGGGGCCCCAGGUUCGAUCCCUGGUCAGGGAA